UGGGAUAUGGCUCAAGUGGUAGAGCACCUGUCUGGCAAGCAUGAAGCCCUGAGUACAAAUCUCUGUACUCCAC
rnacentral:tRNA from 1 species